ACUUUUGAUGAUGAGGUAAUAGUUCUUCAUUGCUCUGUGUUUCUUGUGUAAAUAUUAUUUCUAAACUUUCAUAUUACUUUAAAAGUUAAAACAUUAAUGUUGUAUCACUCCGCCAGAAAAGUAGAGACCUGUGUAUGUGUUUCAUGUUUCCAACAAAGGUAUGUAGAUUUGUGUAUUAUUAUUAUUAUUUUUUGUGAUAAAACGUUUUUGUUAAUGUAAUUUAAAUUAUUAUUUUAUAUGAAUGAAUGUUGUUUACUUCCUCUUCUAUCGGACUUUUGCUGAUGAGGUAUCACUCCGCCAGAAAAGUAGAGACCUGUGUAUGUGUUUCAUGUUUCCAACAAAAAUUAAGAAUUCCUCGGGCGGAGGAUUGUAACACACAAGCAUCAAAUUAUUUUGGGCUGUGCUUAUUUGCCUUUGCCUUGCAUCUAUUUGGCCCGCGUCUGUAGACAAUUACGCCGACCCGGGCCCCAGACUCAGUAAACAGAGCCGCAUAGCUGCACCCUCCCGGGAGGAUUGGCAAGAUGAAUUUGCUCGGGAAGAAAAGAGGCGGCUCGUAUAGGAGGAGGCGGCGAGCGGCGAGUGCCGUCAUGUCACCUCACGCUCCAUUUUUCACCACCAAACAAGGGGUCUCUUCUGCCCGUCUGCAGCUCAAAAAGGCAGCUGUGUUCUUGGCUCCUCGGCUUCUUUCAGAGACACUGGCGUUCACCGCAGCCAUCCGACUCUCAGGUAUGACUUUACAAUCUCACUAAAAUAAAUAAAUAAAUGAUAAAUGGGUUGUACUUAUAUAGCGCUUUCGUACCUUCAAGGUACUCAAAGCGCUUUGACACUACUUCCACAUUUACCCAUUCACACACACAUUCACACACUGAUGGAGGGAGCUGCCAUGCAAGGCGUUAACCAGCACCCAUCAGGAGCAAGGGUGAAGAGAAGUGUCUUGCUCAGGACACAACGGACGUGACGAGGUUGGUACUAGGUGGGGAUUGAACAAGGGACCCUCGGGUUGCGCACGGCCACUCUCCCACGUAAUCCUAGUAUAUGUGUCUAAUUACAUCUGAAACUCUCCGCCUGGAGCCGUCGCCUUUUCUUUUUUUUUUUUCGUUUCUUUUUUGUGCUUCACUCCAACUUUCCUCAUCCACAAAUCUUUCAUCCUCGCUCAAAUUAAAGGGGAAAUCGUCGCUUUCUCGAUCCGAAUCGCUCUUGCUGCUGGUGGCCAUGAUUGUAAACAAUGUUUCAGUAGCCCUUUAAUAUUAUGAUCAAUGUUAAUUAAAAGCUAAAUGUGGGAUAUAAAUAUAAUGGAAGUUUAAUUGUUUGUAUAUCCUAAGUAAUUGGUGCAAAGGUUUAACACGUGUACAAAUAUAUUUCACGUCUUUACUGUGUAUAUAAUUGAACAGUAUUUAUGUUGUCUACAAUGUGUUUUUAUAAUAUGUUGUGAAAAGAAAAUUGGAUAUUUUUUGGAAGCUCAUCUUGUACUUGACUUGGUU